CCCAAUACAAUCCUCGCCGAAGAGAGCCUUUCAGAAAGAAUCAGUUCACCCCUAUUGGUGAAUCGUAUUCAAGCUUGUUCCAAAAGCUAAUCAGGCUAGAUCUAUUGCAGCCAGUGGCCCCAAACUGGCCGAACCCUGAGUCCCCCUCACACCGAGCUGAUGCUAGAUGUAAAUACCACUCUGGAGCAGUAAGAUACAAUACAGAGGACUGUUGGACCCUUAAAAAGGCAGUUGAAGACUUGAUUGAAGCUGAAAGAAUCGUUUUUUGGGAUGAAGAAGCUCAUGAUGUGAUGAACAACUUGUUGCCUGCUCACAACACUGGGCCAAUAGUCGGAAUGAUUUGUGAAGAUGAAGAAUUUGAUCCGGCACUAAAGGCUAUUGCAGCCAUUGCCGAAAUAGAAGAAAAGGUGAAAGACAGUCGCCAAGCCUGAAGUUCCCCAUCAGAUGGGAGUCUCGGUAGCCAGUCUUGCUAUCCUUUCUGCGUCCGAAUUUUCUCAGGGUGUGAUUUAGAUGUUUUACUUUAUUGUCUUACUUUCCGAUGUAAACCAUUCUAUCUUCAACAAUUGAAAAAAAAAAUCAAAAAAUCAAUCAAAAAUAAUAAAAAAAACAAAUGAAAUUAAUAUUUCAUUGUCCAGGAAUGCCUCUUUUCUUAAUUUUGUCAUUUUUCUUAUUCUUUUUUUAGCUCUGUUAAAUGCAGAUUUCAAUAACAUGACAUACUUGUGGACUUCAUGUCCAGAUCCUAAAAUGUUGUCAGACUUCGAAAUAAUGAAUCAAGAAUUAGAUUGCAAUGAAGAUAAGUUUAAGGAAAUAAAACAAAGAGUUGGAACAACUAAAUAAAAUUGGUUCCAGAUUGGAAAGGUCCAUAAAUUACAACAAGAGUAUUGCCAAAAGAGAGCGUUGUACCUGGAAAACAUCGAAGGAAAUGUCCCUGAAACAACUGUCAAUGCAAAUGCAGUCAAAAGGUACUAUGUUGGAUCCUCUAUAUAGAAUUAAUGUUCUCCCAUUGGGAUGAAUAAGGCUUUCUUUCUCACUAUCCAAACAUUAUCAACCCUUUGUAAACCCUUUGAGCCGGUUACUUUUCUUUGAUUACCCUCUUUGGAACCUGAAAGUGUUAUUGAAAAAAUAAUAAUAAAAAAUUGAAAAAAUGAAAUGAAGAAAAAAAAAGAAAAGAGAAGAAAAAGAAAAUACAAAAAGGAAGAAAAGGGAAAAAAGAAAAUGAAAUGAAAAAUGAAAAAGGGGAAAGGAAAAAGGAAAGGAAAAGAAAGAGAAAGAGAAAACAAAACAGAAAGACAAAAGAGAAUAAAAAAAAAUAAAGUUUCUUGAACUACAUUCGAUUUGAUUUCGAAAGGAUACGUAGACAGUCUCUCUCUGGGAUUCAGUCACACCAAAAUUAAAAUCCAAUCUCCCAAAAGUGAAACUAGGGUAGAUGUUAUAAUGGUUCGGCGAUGAUCCCGCCUGAAUGGUUCCAAAUUGUAAUUCAAUCCAAAUCAUAUUUACCCAAAUCCUUUCAAGUCCUUCUGAUCAAUCGGUGAGAAUGUUCAAGGAUCAGAGAAUACAGCUACUUGGAUUCGAUGCAAUCAAAAUGAGAGAAAUAAAAUGAGAGAGUCUUAUUGGUGAAAACCCACACGGGCACCGUGAGGCGACAGUAAGUAGAGAAACGGAAAAUGAGAGAGUCUUAUUAGUGAAAACUCGCAAAGAGCACUAUAAGGCGAUGGUGAGAAGAGAAAUAAGAGAGGUCAGUCAGUGAAAACCCGCAAAAGGCUCCACUGAUCGAAAAGAGGAUCCUCACAACCAUCAGCAUCAAUAGAGUCCUGGCAAGAUUCUUCGGUUUUAAGGCAAAGUUGUGAUGAAUUUCUGAGAGUCGGACGGUUUAUACAGAUCAGACAUCCAGUCCAAAAGGCAUGUCAUGUUCAUUGAAGUCCGCAUGUGUUCCAGAUAAGUCCUUCUUUCCUUUCCCCGAAAGGGACACUUUUUGUUUACACUCAUUCUCUAUUCCAUUGUUUGUUUUCUUUGAAUCCCUUUCGGUCUAACUCUGUUCCAAAACUAAGACAAAGAAAUGAUAGUAAGACUGAUUUACAGGGCUUUCGUUUGACACAAGCUAAUAUGCAAAAAAGGCACCCAGCCUUGUCAGGGACAUCAAGUCGACCUCGACUGGCCAUGGCGGCCAAUGCUUCGAAUUCAAGACUCUCGAAAGGAGAAAAUCAAAUUGAAGUGGCUAUAAAGGAAAAUGAAGUUGAAAAGGUUGAGUCCCACAUGGCUAACCGUCUCGGCAAAGAUUUAAAAGCCAAGGUACCCAAAUGCUCCGAAAUUGAAAUUGGAAGAAAGAAUUCAGAAAUGAAAGGCCUAUAAAGGCGAAAUAAAGUUAGAAAAGGUUAGGUCCCAUGCGACUAGCCGUUGCGACAAAGUCUGAGGAGCCAAAAGUUCCCCAAUACUCCAAAGUUAAAAAAAAAAAAAAAAAGAAAAACAAAAGGAAAAAGAAAAAAAGUCGAAAGGGAAAGGCCUAAGAAGGAAAAAUAAAGUCGAUAUGGUUGAGUUCCACCGAGCAAUAAUCAUGGCAAAGUCUGGAAAAACCAGAGGUUCUCCAGGGCCUGAAAUGAAAUCGCUCCUCAGGGAACAUGCAGUUGUAGUUAAGAUCUUCAUCAAAGAAGCUAGGCCGAGAUCAAGUGAUUGAAACAAUCAAGGCCACAAAACCAACCACCGUUUCAAAUUAACAAUUAUUCUUUGUUUGAAAACAGGAAACAUGUGCAAUCCAAAGCAACCUUGCAAGAAGCAGGUGCAACCAAAAAGAAACUGCGCAAGAGCUAGAAACAGCUCUGCCGCAAUAAUCAAUCCAAAAGGAAAGUCUCCUCCAAAUUCUUUCCUGCAUUUUAUUCAUUCUCUUAAAAUGAAAAAAAAAAGAGAAAAGAAAAAAAAUGAAAAUAAUAAGAAGAAAAAUUCAAAAUCAUGGUAGCAUAAGCUUUCUAGUCUCUAGCUACGUCUUUUCCAACAUAGGGUCUCAUUUCCUAGUCGCUGCCAGCAUAACCUGGUAGUCUUUUUCCAGUAUAGGGUCCCACUUCCUAGUUGACCCUGGCAUAACCCGAGGAUUUUUUAUUUUCCGGCAUAACCCGACGACUUUUUCGGUAUAACCCGUGGACCUCCCUAGCAUAACUUGAGGACCUUUUUUUUCUUUUCCGGCAUAACCCGUAGACUUCCCCGGCAUAACUCGAUGACCUUUUUCUUUACCGGCAUAACCUGAUGACUUUCCCGGUAUAACCCGUGGACCUUCCCGGCAUAACCCGAGGACCUUUUGCUUUUUCCGGCAUAACCCGUGGAACUCCCCAACAUAACCCGAGGACCUUUUUUCUUUUCCGGCAUAACCCGAUGACUUUCCCGAUAUAACCCGUGGACCUCCUCGGCAUAACUCGAGGACCUUUUUCUUUUUCCGGCAUAACCCGGGGAUCUUUUUUUUUCUUUUCCGGCAUAACUCGAUGACUUUCCCGACAUAACUCGUGGACCUCCCCAGCAUAACCCGAGACUUUUUUCUUUUUCCGCCAUAACCCGAUGACUUUCCCGCCAUAACCCAUGGACCUCCCCGGCAUAACCUGAGGACCUUUUUUCUUUUCCGGCAUAACCCGAUGACUUCCCCGGCAUAACGCGUGGGCCUCCCCAGUAUAACUCGAGGACCUUUUUUCUUUUCCGGCAUAACUCGAUGACCUUUCCCGGCAUAACUUGGGACCUUCCCGGUAUAACCUGAUGACCUUUUUCUUUUCUAGCAUAACCCGAUGACCUUUCCCGGCAUAACCCGUGGACCUCCCCGGCAUAACCCGAUGACCUUUUUCUUUUCCGGCAUAACCCGAUGACUUUCCCGGCAUAACCCGCGGAUCUCUCUGGCAUAACCCGAUGACUUUUCUGGCAUAACCCGAGGAUGCUUUUUCUUUUUCGGCAUAACCCGAUGACCUUCCCUAGCAUAACCCGAGUACCUUUCCGGCAUAACCCGAUUAUUUUUCCAGCAUAACCUGGCAAUCUUUCGAACUUAGGGCCUCCGAUCCCCAUUUGGUUUCAUUUUAGAUAUAAAGUCUCCACUCCCUAAUCUCUUUUCCUCAAGGAUACACAAUCCUGAUUUUGCUGCUUUCAAUAAAGAAGUAGUUUAGAUUUUUGUUACAAUAACUCACGAAAUUUUCCUAAUGAAAACUAGGGCAAAAAAUUUCGUUCGUUUAUUUGUUUUGGUGCCUGAGCAGGUUUUUACCUUGAGGUACAAGUUUCGAGGCGCCCAAAAGAAGUCAUGAUUCAAAUAAAAGAAAAGAAAAACAAGAAAAGAAGUGAACUCUAAGUGUAGAAGCGGAGAAAAGAUGCGGACUGCUCAAUAUAUGAUUGAAGUCACAAGCUUUGCAUGUCCCGCCUUGAUCCGAAAAGCUGAAGAAGAAUGAAUCAGCGGUUGCAGCUAACGAGCAUCAAGAUUCAGAUCAGAGUCUGCAGGAAGAACUAACCAAGACUCAAGAUCAAGCUUUCGAAAGUUUAUAGAUAGGAAUCUUGUAACUCGUAGUUGAUAGGCUUAGCUAGUUUAGCUUUUCAUCUUUCAUUUGGUAUAAUAAGGAGCUCAACAAGCAGAAACAACAGUGAAAUCACAGCUUCUCGGUAGUCCCAGCUACCAAAACUUCCAGAACUACACCGACCUGAUUCCUUUAUAGCCAAGGAUAUGUAGGCAAUCUCUAAAGCAAGGUUCGGUCAAACUUUUUAACAAUGCUUCUAAAUGGAGUUUCAAACGGGCAAAAAUUGCUCGUAGUUGCUCACUUUAUCUUUGUCCGAAAACUCUUCAUGUUUCUGAGCAAAGAGAGACAGGUGUGAGCACCUAAUUUUUGCCCCACAUAGAAAUAACUCCUAAAUAUAGACCAAAAAUAAUUUUUAAGGGAUUUUAGAAGUUUUUCUUUAUUUAGUUACAUUUCAUGCAUUUUUAAUAUUUUAAAAUCAUAGUAAAAUCAUAAACAAAUUGUCACGUUUUAAUGUUAUGCCAUCUUAGGUUUAAUUUGCAUGUAGGAAUUAAUUUUAUUAAGCAAAAAAUCACAAAAAAUGGUAAUUUUUACAUAUUUAGAUUUUAGCCUUUAAAAUUAACAUUUUUCUUUAGUUUUAAAUUAAUUAGUUAUUUUAAUAUUAAAAAUAGAUAAAGAAUUUUAUUUCUACAAAAAUAAAUUGAUUUAAGAUUUUAAUUAAUUUAAUUAGAAUUUAAAAUCAAAGAAAAAGAUAAGAAAAAAACAAAGAAAAUGAAAAUAGAAAGAAUAUCUUUUUGGUCUUGUUUUUUUUUUUUAAAAUUUGGCCAAUUCCUAAAAUGACCCAAAUUAACUUUUAAACCUCAACCCAAUCUUACCUUUCCCCAUUUUUUUCCCUUAAAUUCCUAGACCAAACACACAUCAGAUAGACCUAAAUCAAAUCCCCCUUUCCUAACAGCAGCGGUGCAAGAGAGCAACGAAGAAACCAGCGGUCCUCCAUCUUGAUACACACAUUCUCGCACGAAAAGAAGAAGUUGAAAACUCAAAACUUCUGUAGUUCAAAUUCAAUAUUUAGAUCUAAAAAAAAAACAAAAAAAAAGAGUUAAAAAUUCUGGAAACCAAAGAAAGCAGUAGCUAUCUUCCAUUGAUUCCAAAGGACAUCCUCUGUCGUUUUAUGGGUUCUUCAAGCCGGAUUCCAUCUGUGUUUGGAGCUUUUUCUGUUAUAGCAACUAGCUGAGCUCAUCUUUGUUUGUUUCAACCUUUAUUUGGUCUUAAUUUCUUCUACCGUGCUGUUUUCGAGGUAACUUAUCUGUUGCCUUCAUAUAUUUUUGUUUCUUUCUAAUGUGUUGAAUCUAAUAAUGAAAUGAUAUUGUAUGGCAGUGAGUUUGAAAUGUAAUUACUGGAUCUAUAUCAUUAGUGCUUUGUGUUUGUUUAAUACGAAUCAAAUGAGUUAGACUUUUGUAUGCUCUUCGUGAAUUCAUGGAAAUUGAUUACAACAUGCGGUUGUUUAGGCUGAAAGUAAUGUCUCGCAACUAAAACCUUUUAUGAGAAUUAAUAAAACUCAACAUUUGAAAAUAAAGUACUGAAAAUGGCAAUGAAGAGAUUGAGAAAAUCUCCAAAAUGGAAUUACUUGCAAC
rnacentral:lncRNA from 1 species